rnacentral:lncRNA from 10 species
UGAUAAUGUGCUGAUACUCAGUUUGACUUGUGAUCCAUUCCACUUUGGACUGUUGCCCAAGUUCUUAGGAGGUAAAAGCUGUGAUAAAGAGUAAAUCAAAUAAAAGUCGAAUUACCAGUCUUUUUACAGGAAACUAUGGGAUGGAGUCAUGUGGCUGCCACAUGACCUGGUAGCAGGAUAAAAUGAUGAUGGGGAAAUUAUUUUUUACUCCACUAGAGUAAUUAGCAAAGGUCAUAUCCCAUAGGUAAGAGAACACUAUUUCAUAGAGAUAAUGAGUUCUCCAGAUGGUGGUGACAGCUGUGUGAUGGGCAUUCCCAGGGCAGCAUCAAGUUAUCAGAAACAUCAGUAGAAGCCAUUUGAGGAUGACUAAUAAAAUGACUUCAAGAGAGAAAGCCCAGAGGAACACGGAAGAUGAAAAUACUCGAGAAUGCUUCCAUAAUCCUCUUGGAUCAGACAUUUGAGCAACCUAAUUUGGUGGGCACAACACAGCGUUAAAAUACACGAAAAAGAUAUCCAAAUAAUCAAUUUAGAUUUCUGAAACCACAGGACAAGCAAGAUUGAGCCAACCCAGAUCACGUUUCUACUGUCUUCAGGAAAUGAGAAAAAUGAAUCCAGGAAAUUUCCAUCUUUAACUAUACUCUGUAAAUGUGCUGUCCAAUACACAGAUAGCUACUGAGCACUGGAAUAUAGCUAGUCUGAAUGGAGAUGUUCUGCACCCAGAGAAACUAUUUGGUGUAAGAAGAGAAUACAAUAUUAAGGCAUGAUGAAUACAAAGAAGAUUUCUAUUUUUAAGAGGGAGGUAUUGACUUUCAUCUGCAUCUUGAUUUAAUUUUUGUUCUGGAAAACAAAGGUCUCCAUAGGAAUUAGUAGUGAACCUCUAGAAAUACACUGGAUGAAGACCGCUAAGCCAGUGCUACUCAAAAUGUGAUUCAUAGCCUGAUACCUGC